UACGGGGGGGGCAAGCGUUGUCCGGAAUUAUUGGGCGUAAAGAGCUCGUAGGCGGUUUGUCGCGUCUGCUGUGAAAACCCGAGGCUCAACCUCGGGCCUGCAGUGGGUACGGGCAGACUAGAGUGCGGUAGGGGAGAUUGGAAUUCCUGGUGUAGCGGUGGAAUGCGCAGAUAUCAGGAGGAACACCGGUGGCGAAGGCGGGUCUCUGGGCAGUAACUGACGCUGAGGAGCGAAAGCGUGGGGAGCGAACAGG
rnacentral:rRNA from 1 species